UCCGUAGGUGGAUAAUUAAGUCAGAGGUGAAAUCCUGCAGCUCAACUGUAGAAUUGCCUUUGAUACUGGUUAUCUUGAGUUAUUGUGAAGUAGUUAGAAUAUGUAGUGUAGCGGUGAAAUGCAUAGAUAUUACAUAGAAUACCAAUUGCGAAGGCAGAUUACUAAUAAUAUACUGACACUGAUGGACGAAAGCGUGGGGAGCGAACAGGAUUAGAUACCCUGGUAGUCC
rnacentral:rRNA from 1 species